GCGGCGGCGCACAGGGCAGGCCAGGAGCCCGCCCUAGGAGGGCCCCGCUGGAGAUGUGGAAAUGGAGGGACGCGGCACCUGGGUGCUUCCUGGGGCCAGACAACGCCCCCUCAUUGGAACCUCCAUGACCGUGCCUCUGAGAAACCAGCGCGUCCGCAACGAUCACUCCUAAUUUUCGGAUUCCUAUCAUCUGUCUCCACGUGAUAACACUGAAGAGCCUUCACAUUGAUGCAGGCCCAGGGCCUCAAGUGCAGAGUCUGAGAGCUCUGCAGGACACAGCAUGGAGCCGCCAUUCCUCUACUGGGUGGAGGAGCAUGUGUCCUCUGAACAGGGGAUCCAAGCCCUGAGAUGUUCUUUCUCAGCUGUCAGUGCGGCCCAGGACUUUCUGUGGGGAUGCUCAGACAGCAGGGGCCGGAGGACUUUUAGCCACCACCUCCCAUGGCCAGUCUUCACAAAUUACCUUUGGCUAAUUUGACUGUCUCUCCUCCUGGGGUCUAGGACUUCAAACAUGUACAGAAGCGAUUGCAGAAUUAAGACAAGACACUUCCACAAUAUAUUUUUUGUAUCACUGGCUCAGAAAAAGACUCAUUCAAAUCCUGUAUCAAAGCCACAUGUGAGAAUCUUGAGAAAGCAUCAGCUGACUGACUUGACAAGGGAGGAAGCAACCAAAAAUUCUGCGCUUCUUCAGUAUCUGAGUAUGAUAUUUUGCUUCAACAUCCCUCUUAGAUGAAGUUAUUGAUUGAAAAUCAUUUAAGUUUGCCCCAUGGUAAAAGAUCAAGUCCUCAGAAAGAUCUCCAAAGUGUUUACAGUUUGUUUUGUUUUGGUAAGUUUACCAUGAUUUUGCUUGAAUUGCUCUCCGUUGAUCUUCUCAGCUAAGAUGGAGGUAGAGUUGCACAGUGGAAGAGGGCUGCAUGUAAGAAGGCAGUUCUGUCUCAGAGGACAAAAGGCCUGGGAGCACCCAGACAGACAGUCACUGCAUGGAGGUCACUCCCCUCCCAGUGGCCACUGUGGAGACAUUUCACAGAAAUGCUUGCUGGACCAUUCAGGUUCAGAGUUGGGACAAAACCGAGAACUCAUGGGGAUAUUGGACAGGAGUUAGGAAAUGACCUUCUCACACAACUGGGGCAGUGGGGGAGAACCCUGGGCUUGAGACUUGCAAUCCACCACUUGCCCCUGCCCCUGCCCCUGCAGUGUGGCCGCUGUUACAUUUUCCUGCAACUCUGCCUUCUUGAGUCCAAGUGUCUUCGAAAGGGCAAAUGCUUCGUAAGUGCCGACAGGGUGUGUUUCAGUGAAUGUUUGCAGUGUGCACCGGUCUGGCUGAAGGCCUCUUCCCUUCCCCAACACCCUCCCAUCGUGC
rnacentral:lncRNA from 1 species